AGUGAACGCUGGCGGUAGGCCUAACACAUGCAAGUCGAACGGCAGCACAGUAAGAGCUUGCUCUUACGGGUGGCGAGUGGCGGACGGGUGAGGAAUACAUCGGAAUCUACUUUUUCGUGGGGGAUAACGUAGGGAAACUUACGCUAAUACAGCAUACGACCUACGGGUGAAAGCAGUGGAUCUUUGGACCUUGCGCGGUUGGAUGAGCCGAUGUCGGAUUAGCUGGUUGGCGGGGUAAAGGCCCACCAAGGCGAGGAUCCGUAGCUGGUCUGAGUGGAUGAUCAGCCACACUGGAACUGAGACACGGUCAAGACUCCUACGGGAGGCAGCAGUGGGGAAUAGUGGACAAUGGGCGCAAGCCUGAUCCAGCCAUACCGCGUGGGUGAAGAAGGCCUUCGGGUUGUAAAGCCCUUUUGUUGGGAAAGAAAAGCAGCAAGUUAAUACCCCGCUGUUCUGACGGUACCCAAAGAAGAAGCACCGGCUAACUUCGUG
rnacentral:rRNA from 1 species